rnacentral:rRNA from 1 species
GACGAACGCUGGCGGCGUGCUUAACACAUGCAAGUCGAACGGAAAGGCCCCUUUGGGGGUACUCGAGUGGCGAACGGGCGAGUAACACGUGAGUAACCUGCCCUUGACUUCGGGAUAACUUCAGGCAACUGGGGCUAAUACCGGAUAGGAAUCCUUGCUGCAUGGUGGGGGUUGGAAAGCUUCGGCGGUUUUGGAUGGACUCGCGGCUUAUCAGCUUGUUGGUGGGGUAGUGGCUUACCAAGGCUUUGACGGGUAGCCGGCCUGAGAGGGCGACCGGCCACAUUGGGACUGAGAUACGGCCCAGACUCCUACGGGAGGCAGCAGUGGGGAAUAUUGCACAAUGGGCGGAAGCCUGAUGCAGCAACGCCGCGUGCGGGAUGACGGCCUUCGGGUUGUAAACCGCUUUCAGCAGGGGCGAAGCUUGUGGUGACGGUACCUGCAGAAGAAGCACCGGCUAACUACGUG